rnacentral:rRNA from 1 species
GCUAGCCGUAAAUCCAAGCAAUUACUUACUAAUUUGCUCGCCAGAAAAUUACACGCGAAAGCGCAAAAUUCAAAGGACUUGACGGUGUUCCAUAUCAAUCUAGAGGAGCCUGUCCUAUAAUCGAUAAUCCACGCUAAACCUUACCCAUUCUUGCAAUAACAGCCUGUAUACCGCCGUCACCAGCCCAUCUAAUGAUAGAACAAACAUGGGCACAACUGCCCACCCGCCAAAACGUCAGGUCAAGGUGUAGCUAAUGAAUGGGGUGAGAUGGGCUACAUUUUUUAAAUUAAAAAAUACGGAAAGUAACAUGAAACAUGAACUAUAAAGGUGGAUUUAGCAGUAAAUUUAGUAAGACAUACUAUAUUGAAAUAAGCUCUGGAACGCGUACAC